AUCACUUUCUUGGUCUUUUGGCUAAUAUCAAGUAUAGUAUCUAUUCUUAUUAGUUUAUUAUUUGAUAUUUCUUCUAUCUGAGGGCUAUAUAUUAAACAGAUGGGUUUUUUUUGGAACAGGGAUACAGAAUAGGAGGCUUGUAUGUCCACUCCAUAAAUCAACCUGAUAUUGCAGUACUUCUUGGAAUGGUGCAUUUUUC